GAAACCGGAGCUAAUACCGGAUAAUAUUUUGAACCGCAUGGUUCAAAAGUGAAAGACGGUCUUGCUGUCACUUAUAGAUGGAUCCGCGCUGCAUUAGCUAGUUGGUAAGGUAACGGCUUACCAAGGCAACGAUGCAUAGCCGACCUUAGAGGGUGAUCGGCCACACUGGAACUGAGACACGGUCCAG
rnacentral:rRNA from 1 species